rnacentral:lncRNA from 1 species
UAGACUGUUUUUGCUGCAUUUAAAAUCAUUUUGAAUUACAUACAUCCAACCUACUCAUUUUCUAACAAUUUCAAAAGCUCAAAGUGGCAUCCAUUGAAUGUGCUCUCAUUAGAUAGAAUGAAAGUAUUCCUUCACUUUUAAAGCUAUGCCCUCCUCUCCUUCCUAACCUUAUAGCCUUGGGUAGUUCCCUCCGCUUCUUAAGAAGCUCCUUAUUGGUUG